rnacentral:lncRNA from 1 species
GUUGCAUAAUUUUUUUUACUGUUUUUUAGAAGCUCAAACAUGUAUAUUUGGUCUAAGCAUAUGAAAAGAAUAUAAAAUUCCUUUAUACUUACCUAAUACAUGUAAUAAAUAAAGGCAACAAAUAGAAUUAAUGAUAAAUAACACAUCAGCAGUAUUCUUCUAUCCUUUUUGUUGUUCCUCCUCAAAGACGUCAACAUUGCUGCUCAGUUAAGAAAAAAAUAAUACUUGUUUAAGUACUUGCUUCAAGUAAUGCAAGUUUCCAUAGGUGAGCAGUGAAUUUGUUCUGAUAAACCUAGAUUUCGAACUCCUAUACAAUUAUAAAAUAUCAUGUUUAAAAUUUUGAUUUUUUCUGAAUUUUUUCUUCCGAAUUAACAUAUACUUAUACGAAUUUGAUGUUACCACGUGUUUAGCAGAUUUUUGGUUUUUUUCACAUUGACUUAGCGUCUGUGUUUGCGUGUCGCUUUCAUAUUUUGCUAGUUUGACUUUCACCACAAUAUCACACAUUGUUUUGUACUUUAUGUUGCUACCUCAUUGAUGAGUAUCAAUUUUCAUUCCUAAUUUCUAAAAGAGUCACGGAGUGCUAUGUAAGUUUUCGGUUGGGCUUAAAUAGGCCAUUUCGUAUGAUGUUCCAUAUGUUUGGCUCUCACGACUUUUUAUCACGACCGUACAUGAUGAAAGUUAUUCCAGAAACAAAUGGUAUGCGCAUAGAAACUGCAUCAGUGGUGUUUUGUUAUAACCACUGUGCCGAUACUGCUACUGGUAAACCACCAGUCAAAUAUGGUAUCAUCCGCCUAGUAGCCUGUUCGACAAUUAAAUAUGAUUAACAUCCCUUUUACUAGCCAUGUUAACACUUAAAGAAAAACUCGUUUUAAGAUGUGACUCGAAGGUGUGAAUAUGUUCUAAAUUGGUCAGACAGUACUUUGUCAUGUUCUAUCUAACCUAUACAUGGUCAUUAUUAUGACUUAACUAUUAACAAAACUUUAAACUUUUCAAUAUUAAAAAUCGUCUUCUAUAGGAAUAUAUAACGUUAACUGUAUUGCAAAACCUUUCGGAAUUUU